GGGCAGCUGGUCUAGCUCGGUUAUGAUACCGCUCUUACACAGCGGUGGUCGGGUGUUCAAAUCACCCGCUGCCCA
rfam:Candidatus Nitrososphaera gargensis Ga9.2, complete genome.